AUGCCACAUAGACCAAAACGCCGC
rnacentral:siRNA from 1 species